GAGGGGGAUUGGCUUGGUUGCCUUUUCAUCAUCUCCUCGAUUCCGGCCACCUGCAAUGCUCCGGCCUGUGGUUGAACCACCAUUUGCGCCUCCUCCUGCUCUGGAUUGCAUUAUUGCUCUCAGCUUACAGUAGUAAGAAUACUUUUCAUCUCGCUCUUCUGAACCAUCUUCCCCUUAGGAGGUCACAACAUGAUCAGUAAUAAACAAAGUGAGGUGAGGAGUUAAGUGGUUAAUUAACGGUAGUUAAGUCAUUAGUGUUCAAUUAGUUACCGUCAGUUACAUAUA
rnacentral:misc_RNA from 1 species